rnacentral:lncRNA from 1 species
AUGUGCUGUGUGUAUUUCUGCCUUGGUGGGUUUGCUGCUGCAGGAGACGCAGCUGAGGGAGAAAAGAGGAAGCAAAAGCACAGUGUUUGCUGCUGCAUCCUUUACUUGGAGUUUCAGUUCCAGGAAAUGAAGAUCUGGUUGUGCCUGGUGUCUUCAUCCCCUGAACACUUCCACUGUCAAACCUCUUCUCUUUCGAGGGAGUGGUUGGUCAGAGCACAUUUAGCUGUAAUUGAAUUGCAUCCUGCCCCCUUGUGGAUGAUCAUCUGUGGUCAGGAAAGGGUGAGGCGGUUCAGUGGUCAGCCACCCGCAAGUUCUGAGUCACUGCACUCACUUGAUCAAACUCACAAUGAUGCCUCCCAACUAUGAGGUUCUUCAUCUGCAAUUCUUCAGUCAACAGUCAAAUCUCUCCAUGAACGGUUGUAUUUGUUGCACUUAAAGAUUCUGCAACAGGUCAGUCAGGAAUUAAGGAAACAUGAAAGCAACCUGCAAUCUUCACUUUUUUUUUCUUUCUGCACAGUUUUAAUUGAUCUUUUCAGUAAAAGUUGUCAAAAGUAGAAAAAAAAAGAUUGCAGUAUUAUUUCCUUUUAAGUCCCUCUCUUCUGUCACACAAGGUUCUCCUAAGGCAGGGGUCUUUUGCCCCUCCAUUGUGAAGUUCCUAAAGUAUAGACUUGCAUUUACAUGUAUAGAUUAGGGGGAAAAGGACUUUACACCAAUGUUGAAAUGUUUAUAUUUUGUAGUAAAAGGGAAAAAAAGCAUAAUGGGACACCAAAGUCACAAUGAUAGAAAGACGUUUGACUUGACUUUUCUACCUGUUUAAUUUCAAGUUAUAUUUGACACACUGUGUUGGGUAUAUUUUAUUUUGAAAGGAACCUGUUAGUGCUGCUGUUAAAGUAACACAAGUUGUAAUUGUUAUAUAUAGAAAAAUUAUAAAACUUUAUGCUUCAGAUAUUGUAAAUAUUUUAAAGCUACAUUGUAUAAAUGAAUGGAAAAAUGGCCACAGAAACAGAUACAUUCUGUUUCCAAUGACUUGAAAGUCUGUACUAGAAGUACAGACUUCCUCACUUCUUGUGUUUCGAUUUUCUCCUAUUAAAAGCUACAAGUAUGUUUUCCCGGUUAGAACUACACAACAUUAGGGAGCCAGUUCUGGAGGUAGAGCACACUCUCAUGUAAAGACAAAAUACCAUCUAGCUGCCCGUUUCCAUAGUUUGAUUUGAUCCACAGUGAGUUGUUAGGUGCGUUCUACCUGAGAAGAGGGAGGGGCUAAGCUAAGCCUGAGCAGUGGCGGAGCUAGAACAUUUUAUAUGGAGGGGGGCAGAAAACUUUGUAACGGUGGUAAAUGAGAACAGCAGAGUGGAAGGCCAUUACAAAUGAAGGGAUCAAAUAUAUGUAUUUCUUUUUCAUUUGUUUAAUUUUUUUUUAUAGUCUUUGCAGUGCUUAUUGAUGAUUUCAUAAGCUUUGUCAGUAGUAAUACCAAUGGUUAGCGCUCUUGCCUCACAGCAAAAAGACCCCCUUUUUAAUAAGGGACAAGAAACAGAUCACCAAUGGGGGACCCUUCUGUGUGGAGUAUGCAUGUUCUCCCCGUGCAUGCGUGGGUUUUCUCUGGGCAUUCUGGGACUCCGGCGACAGAAUGGCGACCUGUCCAGGAGUGGCCGGGGUAGC